UGACCGUCCGCCGCCGCCGUCGCCGUUGAACCGUCGCCAAACGUAAAGUCAUCCGUCGUGUGCUUCUCUCUGAUUACGUAAUAUUUUAUAACAUACAGGGCGAUCGUGUUAAUGUUAUUUAAUCGCGAACCGGCCAAGUAUCAUUAUUAUCUGAGUGGAUUGUAUAAUGUUCGACGAAAACGUAAAGCGUAUACGUCAGUGUCUAGGAAUUUUCAAUGGGAGGGGAUGUAACAGAUAAAAAUCGUGAAAAACGAAUAAAAUCGUCUUCUCCACCCAACUCGACUGUGGGAAUCGGUCAUUUAAAAACCGGAUCCUAAAAAAAAAAAAUACCAAUUCGAAAA